rnacentral:lncRNA from 1 species
CAACAAAUGAAAUACUUUACACUCAAAAACUAUUUUUAAAAAAACAGACAAAAUAUAGAAAAUAAGUAUAAGUAACAUAUUCAAAGAGACAUUAAACGACAUUUUAUUAAUUUUAAAAGCUAUAGAUUAUAGAAAUAAAAAUUUUCCGUAUGAAAUUUCCCUCCUAAGGGUCGGCCCAAGUCCAGGACCUGUCUGGGAAUUGUGGACAUAUCGGUAGGACACGGGCAAGGAUUGCCAUCUCGCUCAGCACCUGUUUCCUUGAACGAUGAGAAUAACCCAUCUCUCCUGUUUUAAGUGUGAUUUGUCAUAUACAUCAAUAGGCAUCUUGGCUCAACAUACGAAAGCCCCUUUCCACAGAGACAGCUGCCUCCAGCCUGAAGAAGUUGCCACAGGAGGUAGAAGGAGGUCCCUUGCCCAUGCCUGGGAGACCCAGCCAGAGUGGACAGGGAGGCGGCCCGGGCCGGGGUGCCAGACUCAGCAAAUAAACACAGCAUGCCCAGUUGACGGCGCAUGUGGUACUGUAUUGAAUCUGGCAACGCUCCACCUUGGUUUUCCUACCCGGGUUUGUGGAAGGGGCUCCCCCUGCCCCGCAGGUGCCGCCCCGAGGAGGUGGAGGAGGAGGAGCCGGGCACUGACUGGGGACCCAGGCAACGAAAGCAAGCGCUGCAAAGACGAAGGGGAGCGCCCAAGGAUGAGGAACGUUCCAAGACACUGAGUGAUUUGCUGAAAAUCACACAUCUAGAUGCAAAGCCAGAAUGCGAGCAGUGACCACCACACUUGACAAAUCCGUUGUUGCACACAUUUGUACUCUUCAAUCAACAAAACCUGAUGCAAAAAACAGAAAAGGGGGAGAUGUACAUGCAUUUUCCCUCACUGCAAAAAAAACACAACUUGUUUAACUACAGGUGUGUUCCUGGUGGUCUUUGAAUGAAGACAUUGACAGAAAGUAACAUAGCAUGCUGGUUAAAGACUGUUUUUAUUCGAAUCCUGGCUUUGCCAAUCAACAGCUGCAUAAAUUAAACUCUCGACCUCAGCUCCCUUAUUUGUAAAACAAGAAUAACAAAAAGACAUUUUUAUAAGGUUGGGUUGAAGGUUAAAUGAAAUAACAGAAGAUUAUCUCUUCACUAAUUUUAGCUGUAGAAAACAGAAGCCAAUCGAAAGAGCUCCCAGUCCAAAGCUGGAACAACUUGAACAACAAAAUAAAUAAUGUAGCAUUGGAUUACAAACCAACCAUAAAACAAAUAUCCAUGAGUCUAUACUGAUGUCAAUAAAUGAAUAAAUGUGGGAAAAUAGA